UUGUCCUUGCUGCAAUGGUGAGCAUUCAACGUAUGCCGGAACGUUAUGAACCCAAUGAGAGCUAGCUGGUUCUACGUGAAGGUGUUCACAAUACGGUGAAGUUUCUAGCAUCCAAGCUCACGGGCAAUAACAACAACACUUUCCUCAUCACUUUUGCACUGCUGAACUAAGGGCUACAGUUGUAUUCAAAUUUUGGUAUAGAAAUGAUGAGAAUCCUUGGACGAAAACAACUUAAUGCCACAUCCCUGAAGAGAUAAGCUUGACUCUCAUCCAUAUGUUCAAUCACCUCUAAACAAGUACCAAUAUUAAACCCAUGCAACCUGGAACCAAAAUUUGUAAUUGAACCUUCAUAAAGAAUAAAUGAUUUUAUGGGUUUACUUGUCGCACCAGCAUCUGGAUUGGGAGAUUGUUUCCUACUAUCUACUGCAACUCCUUCAAUGGCCAUGUCAUCAGUUUUAUCUUCUGCUUCAACUCCUUACUAUCUGCUAUAACUUCACUAACAUUCCCAGUUGGCUUGAUGAUCAUGUCAUCGGGAUUAUCUAGUGGUGGAGGUAAAUCAGGCAUGAUAACAUCUGCUUGGGAAUUUGGGAUAGUCGGUACUGUAUGUGCUCCAUCCAACAUAACACUUUCAGAUGCUGCAGCUUCAUUGUCGGGACAGGCUGUUGCAUGCUGCCUUACAGUAACUGGUCGGAUGUUACAACUCUAUUGUGCAGGCUAAUGCAAGUUAGUGUAGGAUGCUUACAAGGCAAUGUUAAGUGUUGGUUAACAUGAUGAUGAUGAUAUGGUGGUCUUGAUGUAAGCCAAACAUUACAAUAAGCAUAUCAAAGGGAGAACA